AUUGAACGCUGGCGGCAGGCCUAACACAUGCAAGUCGAGCGGAGGAAGGGAGCUUGCUCCUGGAUUCAGCGGCGGACGGGUGAGUAAUGCCUAGGAAUCUGCCUGGUAGUGGGGGAUAACGUCCGGAAACGGGCGCUAAUACCGCAUACGUCCUGAGGGAGAAAGUGGGGGAUCUUCGGACCUCACGCUAUCAGAUGAGCCUAGGUCGGAUUAGCUAGUUGGUGGGGUAAAGGCCUACCAAGGCGACGAUCCGUAACUGGUCUGAGAGGAUGAUCAGUCACACUGGAACUGAGACACGGUCCAGACUCCUACGGGAGGCAGCAGUGGGGAAUAUUGGACAAUGGGCGAAAGCCUGAUCCAGCCAUGCCGCGUGUGUGAAGAAGGUCUUCGGAUUGUAAAGCACUUUAAGUUGGGAGGAAGGGCAGUAAGUUAAUACCUUGCUGUUUUGACGUUACCAAAAGAAUAAGCACCGGCUAACUUCGUG
rnacentral:rRNA from 1 species